rnacentral:misc_RNA from 1 species
GAAAUGCGAUAAGUAAUGUGAAUUGCAGAAUUCAGUGAAUCAUCGAAUCUUUGAACGCACAUUGCGCCCUCUGGUAUUCCGGGGGGCAUGCCUGUUCGAGCGUCAUUACAACCCUCAAGCUCUGCUUGGUAUUGGGCCCUGCUGAGUUUCGGCAGGCCUUAAAAUCAGUGGCGGUGCCAUUCGGCUUCAAGCGUAGUAAUUUUUCUCGCUUCGGAGAUCCGGGUGUGUGCUUGCCAGCAACCCCCAAUUUUUUCAGGUUGACCUCGGAUCAGGUAGGGAUACCCGCUGAACUUAA